UACAGAGGUCUCAAGCGUUGUUCGGAUUCAUUGGGCGUAAAGGGUGCGUAGGCGGCGCGGUAAGUCGGGUGUGAAAGCCCUCAGCUCAACUGAGGAAGUGCGCCCGAAACUGCAGAGCUUGAGUGCCGGGAGAGGGUGGCGGAAAUUCCCCCAAGUAGAGGUGAAAUCCGUAGAUAUGGGGGAGGAACACCGGUGGCGAAGGCGGCCACCUGGACGGGUAACUGACGCUGAGACGCGAAAAGCGUGGGGAGCAAACAGG
rnacentral:rRNA from 1 species